rnacentral:rRNA from 1 species
UAGGGAAUCUUCGGCAAUGGACGAAAGUCUGACCGAGCAACGCCGCGUGAGUGAAGAAGGUUUUCGGAUCGUAAAACUCUGUUGUUAGAGAAGAACAAGGACGUUAGUAACUGAACGUCCCCUGACGGUAUCUAACCAGAAAGCCACGGCUAACUACGUGCCAGCAGCCGCGGUAAUACGUAGGUGGCAAGCGUUGUCCGGAUUUAUUGGGCGUAAAGCGAGCGCAGGCGGUUUCUUAAGUCUGAUGUGAAAGCCCCCGGCUCAACCGGGGAGGGUCAUUGGAAACUGGGAGACUUGAGUGCAGAAGGGGAGGGUGGAAUUCCAUGUGUAGCGGUGAAAUGCGUAGAUAUAUGGAGGAACACCAGUGGCGAAGGCGGCUCUCUGGUCUGUAACUGACGCUGAGGCUCGAAAGCGUGGGGAGCAAACAGG